GGAUGUGAGGGCGAUCUGGCUGCGACAUCUGUCACCCCAUUGAUCGCCAGGGUUGAUUCGGCUGAUCUGGCUGGCUAGGCGGGUGUCCCCUUCCUCCCUCACCGCUCCAUGUGCGUCCCUCCCAAAGCUGCGCGCUCGGUGGAAGAGGACAACCAUCCCAGAUAGAAGGAGUGUACCGUUCUUCGGUCAAGGGUAUACGAUAGCUGCGCUCCCCUGCUAGAACCUCCAAACAAGCUCAAGGUCCUCUGUGCACAUUCUAGCUUGUCAAUAUCCUUCUUAAAUUGUGGCACCCA